rnacentral:rRNA from 1 species
AGUGAACGCUGGCGGUAGGCCUAACACAUGCAAGUCGAACGGCAGCACAGUAAGAGCUUGCUCUUACGGGUGGCGAGUGGCGGACGGGUGAGGAAUACAUCGGAAUCUACUUUUUCGUGGGGGAUAACGUAGGGAAACUUACGCUAAUACCGCAUACGACCUACGGGUGAAAGCAGGGGAUCUUCGGACCUUGCGCGAUUGAAUGAGCCGAUGUCGGAUUAGCUAGUUGGCGGGGUAAAGGCCCACCAAGGCGACGAUCUGUAGCUGGUCUGAGAGGAUGAUCAGCCACACUGGAACUGAGACACGGUCCAGACUCCUACGGGAGGCAGCAGUGGGGAAUAUUGGACAAUGGGCGCAAGCCUGAUCCAGCCAUACCGCGUGGGUGAAGAAGGCCUUCGGGUUGUAAAGCCCUUUUGUUGGGAAAGAAAAGCAGCAGGUUAAUACCCCGCUGUUCUGACGGUACCCAAAGAAUGAGCACCGGCUAACUUCGUG